GUGGUAGCCGGAGUUAUUGGGAGCAGAUGGGAAGGGAUGGUGGAGGGGCAGGGCUGUGGGGGAGGGAGGGGCAACCUAGGGGUAGGAGGAAACCGAAAAGACCCUUACCCAGACCACUGGGGUCCUGAGCCAGUUAUCUGGAUGUUCUCCACGGGACAUUCCUUGGUCCAGGUGACAGGUAAAUCCAGAUUUGAGGGAUGGAGAGGCUUCAGAAAGGUCAAUGCUAAGGCCAUGUCUGUUUGGUAUGGACCCUGGGGAUCCACAUCACCUGACCCUCUCCUGAGUCCCUCUGGGGUCUGAGGAUCUGUGUCCAGGGGCCCUGACAGGGGUGGGGUGAGAGGUGGGAGCAUGUGUUACAUGUAGACUGUGCUCGAGGAAGCCAGAGGCUGCUGGACUGGGAGCAGGAGGCUGGGCCCAGCGGCAGCUGACAGGAAUGAGGUGGCGUCAGUCGAGGGGAAGUUCUCAAGAGCAUUGAGGGCCAAUGAGCCACAUUUCAAAGGUUGACUGUGAUGCAGACAGGGAUGCUGGUGAGUGUGGUGCUGGUUGCAGUGCUGACAGAGGCGGUGUGGUGGUGGCGAUGGGGCCGUGAAUGUGGAGCCUGAUGUCCUCUGUGCCCAGUGACUCCACUCAGUUGCCCGCCUGCUUUUAUGGGAGCCACUUGGUGAAACGUCCCUUUCUGUUUGGUAAGACCCCGCCCUCUCAUCUCCAGUCCUUGGAAACACCUUGGUCUUAGCUGAGCUGAGUCCUGGUCUUCAUCCCUAACCGCCUCUGCAGCCCCCAGCCCUCGGCCCAGAGCUGAGUCUGCAGAGACGAGUGGACGGUGCUGAGUCCCAACCACUUAAGAAUCCAAGCGGUUUAGGGUCUGGAGGAAGAGGUGGGGCCAGGGAGGGAUUUGCCAGUCCAAAUCAUCGCUCAAUGAGUGGCAGAAAGGGUCAUAUCCCAGAUCGUGGAGACGCAGGAGGCGCGAGUUCUAUCCCUGGGUUGGGAAGAUAUCCUGGAGGAGGGCAUGGUAACCUACUACAACAUUCCUGCCUGCUCCUUGCCUUGUCCUCCUUCUCCCUCUCCUGUUCCGAGAUGGAAGGCGAAGCCAAAUCCCGCUCAUCAGAGAGUCUCCUCCUGCCACACGAUACAUUUCUCCUUCCCAAGGCCCCUCACCCCAUGCUGAGGAGUCAAAAUAACCUGACUGACCCCGCGCCUGCAGGGCCAUUCCCACC
ensembl:lncRNA